UUUUUUUUUUUUUUUUUUUUUUUUUUUACACCUAACCACCUUAUUUCUGAUGAAAGAAAACUUGGUUGGUGAUCUACAGAGUAUUUAUAUUUUCAUCAAGUUAAAUGAGAAACACAAUAUUAAAAUACAAACUCCAAUGUAAGAGACAAUUUACACACUCUAAUAAGUUAUUGAAACUUAAUGGUAAAGUAAAUAGUAACUAAACGUAGCUUUGUAUUAAGGCCUGUACUAAGCUUUUUAGUAAUAAGUAGUUAAUGGACGUUUAAGGUGUUAUGUAGGAAAGAUACUUUUAGUGAGUCUAUUUAAAGCAUUGCUAAUGUAAAAUGAAAUUAUAUAUUUCUAAUUGAGAAUAAUUUUGAUCAAUAAAAAUACACAGAAUAAUCAGUAUUUGGUUAUACAUGCAUAUCUAUAAGAGCAGAACUAAAAUGAUUAUGUUCUUAAUAGGGUUGGCAAAUCUGUGAAAAAAAGUGUUAAUAAAGACAUGCACACACACAGAAACACACACACUACCUCACUGAGUCUAUUUAGAGUUGUCUCUAUGUGUUUGUUUCUAGAUGACCACUUGGGAUUGGAUAAUUUAUAUAGCAGUUGAUUUUGGAGAAAUCAGAUUCUGUUUUGCUCAGCAGCCAUUGUUUUCCUAUAGUCCUUCAUCUGGGAGUAGUUCCUUGUGAGACUUUACCAAUCCAAGAUAGUGUUUCAGCUGGUAUUGUCUUACAGGUCUUGUUUGUGUGAUAAUAAUGUUAUAGUUUGAUGAGGAUUGCAUUGAAUCUAUAGAUUGCCUUUGAUAGGAUGGCCAUUUUUACUAUGUUACCUCUGCUGAUCCGUGAGCAUGGGAGAUCUUUCCAUUUUCUAAGACCUUCUUUGAUUAGGUAGUGUUCCUUCUGUUUCAAUUUUAUGAAAUAGUUUGAGAAUAUUAGUAUCGAGUCUUCUUUGAAGGUCUGACACAAUUCUUCAAAGACAUGGAAAGAGCAAUUCUCAAAUUCAUCUGGAAAGGCAAAAGGCCCAGAAUCACAAAAACAAUUCUUAACAAUAAAAGAACAGCUGGAGGAAUCACCAUUCCUGACUUCAAGCUUUACUACAGAGCAGUAAUGAUU
rnacentral:lncRNA from 1 species